rnacentral:rRNA from 1 species
AUUGAACGCUGGCGGCAGGCCUAACACAUGCAAGUCGAGCGGAUGAAGGGAGCUUGCUCCUGGAUUCAGCGGCGGACGGGUGAGUAAUGCCUAGGAAUCUGCCUGGUAUUUGGGGAUAACGUCCGGAAACGGGCGCUAAUACCGCAUACGUCCUGAGGGAGAAAGUGGGGGAUCUUCGGACCUCACGCUAUCAGAUGAGCCUAGGUCGGAUUAGCUAGUUGGUAGGGUAAAGGCCUACCAAGGCGACGAUCCGUAACUGGUCUGAGAGGAUGAUCAGUCACACUGGAACUGAGACACGGUCCAGACUCCUACGGGAGGCAGCAGUGGGGAAUAUUGGACAAUGGGCGAAAGCCUGAUCCAGCAAUGCCGCGUGUGUGAAGAAGGUCUUCGGAUUGUAAAGCACUUUAAGUUGGGAGGAAGGGCAGUAAGUUAAUACCUUGCUGUUUUGACGUUACCAACAGAAUAAGCACCGGCUAACUUCGUG